rnacentral:sRNA from 1 species
AAGUAAUGAUGGGGCUUAUUCUCUUGUACUGGCUGGUGGAUUUGCGGAUGAAGUCUUGACAGAGUUAUGAAUAUGAAUAUUGUGGAGUCUGUCCAGAUACCGGGUGGAAGACUGGUUUUGAUCAGUUUAAGAAGUAUUCUAAACUGUUCUAGAUGACCGAGGUGAUGAGUUCACAUACACUGGAAGCGGUGGUAAAAAUCUUGCUGGUAAUAAAAGAAUUGGCGCACCUUCAGCUGAUCAAACAUUAACAAACAUGAACAGCUCUUCCAACUUUAAGAAACUGAAGAGGGCAGCAAAGUAACCUGGCCAUCUUUUAACAGGGCAGUCAGAGGCACCUGACUGGUUGAGUGGCAGUUAGAUUAAUGGAGGAGCUUUGUUGCUGUAUUGCCUAGUUUCAUCCUCUUGGACUCUUUUCAUGUACUUGAAUAGCCUAAUUAUCUGAAGCCAGAAGUGAGUUGACAGUGCCAGUUAGUGGUGGCAGUAAUUAUGACUGAAGGUAUCUGUGAGCAUUAAAGCAUUCCAUUCAGUGACAUGAAGGUAAAGUUACCCUAGCUCUUCAGAUAAAAUAGGUGUAAUAUCUCAAUAGGUAUUCUGUAAGUAAGACGUAAUACUAGCCCCAGAGUUGAUGGCUGUGUUUUUUUCUACCUCCCAGCAUUUUAAUGCAUCUUCCUUUUAGAUUUAAAAAAAAAGGUAACUUGGGAAGCUUCAACUCUUUGACCACAGCUAUAUAAGUUAUUUUUUAAAACAAAAUACUUUCAAGUUUAUUUACUCACUAAAAAUAUAACUAUGGUCAAGACAUUUCUUUUCAAUAGGUUAGUCAUAUUCUUGAAGUCUAUUUUUUUUUAACUUGAGCCUGCAUAAAAAGAAUCAAACCCUGAAGAAGUAUUUUAUGUCAUAUCUGCUUUUACCAGAUUGGGUAUAGUUCUGUUUUUUGUUUGUUUUUUAAACCUUAAGUGUUCUCAGUGUUUUAUUUUCACUUAAGAUGUAGGUGUUCUAGAGGAAAAUGCUAAUUGUAAACUGAUUUUAAAAUUGUUAUUUUAAAAUAGUAAAAAUAAUUUAAGUACAGAUUUUGGUACAACUAGGUUCUCCCAAGAAUAAGGUCUUCUAACAUCUAAUAAGCUCAUUGAUUUACUACUAUUAGGUGAAUGCAUAUACUAAGUAAGUUCCAGCUAAGUCAGGUACUACUCCCAAUUCAGUGUUCCUCUUUGACCAUGCAUUAAUGCAUCAUCAGUAAAAUGUAGUGAUCUCAAGCAGCCAGAAGUCUUCAUUGUCAUUAGCACAGGCAUUUGGAUGCUUCAGGCUUAUUGAAAUUUAUCUUUUUAUGGAGACCUUUAAAGAAUAUUCUCAUACACCACUUAUUCUUAAUAUCUUUUAAACUUUAAGGAUUCUCUAUUGUCUGGAAUGUGGAAAGUAGACCUGGGAAGGUCAUUUGUACCUUGCUGACAAAUUUAUAUUUUUGGAUUUCUUUCUACAUUAUUCCAGCAAUUCACCUCACACCCUUACCAAAGAUCACUAUUGCAACAAUCAUUUGCUUUAGUUUUCCAACGUUCUCCCUUCCCCCAACAAACGUUAUUUAAAGAAAAAUUCCAUGUAUUUCUAGUUGUUUUCUAUUAUACGUGGCACAGAUGUUAUUACUUUCAGAAGAACCCUACAGGCUAUCUGAGAACCAAUCCCCUGGCUUGGGGGUGACAUCAGAAAACUGAUUUGUCUUCUCUGCUGGUGGGGGAAAGCAUAAUCCUAUUAUCUGGAAUAAUAUGGAAAGAAUCAUAGAAUCUUAACCAUCAGGGCAUUGGCCCUAAACUGUGAUGCUCCAUUGGAUGAUAAAAUUGGAGCAGAGUCUCGGAAUUGGAGAGCUGGUAAGCCAGUCAGAGUGAUACGCAGUUUUAAAGGGAGGAAGAUCAGCAAAUAUGCUCCUGAAGAAGGCAACAGAUAUGAUGGCAUUUAUAAGGUGGUGAAAUACUGGCCAGAGAUUUCAUCAAGCCAUGGAUUCUUGGUUUGGCGCUAUCUUUUAAGAAGAGAUGAUGUUGAACCUGCUCCUUGGACCUCUGAAGGAAUAGAACGGUCAAGGAGAUUAUGUUUACGUUUACAGUAUCCAGCAGGUUACCCUUCAGAUAAAGAAGGGAAGAAGACUAAAGGACAGUCAAAGAAGCAGCCCAGUGGAACCACAAAAAGGCCAAUUUCAGAUGAUGGCUGUCCAAGCGCCUCCAAAGUAUACAAAGCAUCAGAUUCAGCAGAAGCAAUUGAGGCUUUUCAACUAACUCCUCAACAGCAACAUCUCAUCAGAGAAGAUUGUCAGAACCAGAAGCUGUGGGAUGAAGUGCUUGCACAUCUUGUGGAAGGACCAAAUUUUCUGAAAAAAUUGGAACAAUCUUUUAUGUGCGUUUGCUGUCAGGAGCUAGUUUACCAGCCUGUGACAACUGAGUGCUUUCACAAUGUCUGUAAAGAUUGCCUACAGCGCUCCUUUAAGGCACAGGUUUUCUCCUGCCCUGCUUGCCGGCAUGAUCUUGGCCAGAAUUACAUCAUGAUUCCCAAUGAGAUUCUGCAGACUCUACUUGACCUUUUCUUCCCUGGCUACAGCAAAGGACGAUGAUCUGCCUGCUUUCACUGUGUUGUUCAUGGUGGCUUUUUGGACAAUAAAGAAUCUAAAAUGGGUGGGGAGGGUGGAAGAAAUGGUGGACUGUAUCUCUCACGUUCUGAAGCAGCUAAUCCUCUUUCCCACAUAGCCAUCAUCUUGUGUGUGUAGUAAGAGGCCCAUUUCUCAACUGUCUUUUAAAUAUCUCAAGGUAGUUCCUAUAACAACUAGUUUUAAUGAGUAAAAAGUCAAAGCCUCAGCUCUAGUUGAUAUCCAAGUUAUGAUUUAUUUUGCAACUACCUCAGGACAGAAAAGAUUUAUGGGGAUUUUAAAAAUCAUUGAAUAACUAGUUAAAUGAAAUUUUAGCUACACACUGCCUCCCAAAUAUUAGUUGUGCCUGGUUCUUGUAAUUUGAUUUUACAGAAAAGGAAAUGACACUUGAGAUCCUUGGAAUGAACACAGCUUCUAAAGUGUGCAUAUACUUUUUUAACGUCUCUUCUUCCAUUACAAUGUGUGUUUUGCAAGGACAGGUUCAUUUUUUUAGCCCACUUUGUGAACUCCAUUGUGCUUUUUUCUGGUGUUUUAUGCAAGUUGACUACUAAUGACUAAUGAGAACAAUAAUGAAUGCAUUGUUGCUGCAUUAGUGUAAUGUGGUGUGGUUUUGCACUUAAAAGAGGUAUUCAUAUGCUCUAGUUGUAAAUGUUCAUGAAAAUCCACUUCUGUACUAGUCGAACUGCUUUUAGUGUCUCACCAGUGGUUUUACAUCUGCAGAGUUUUCAGGGCUGUGCUAACCUUUGAGAGGAUUUGAAAUUGCUUCAUAUUGUGAUCCUAAAUUUUAUAUUCACUAUAUUCCCUAAAGUAUACCUUAAUAAAUAUUUUAUGAUCAGAAAAA